rnacentral:lncRNA from 1 species
UGCAUAUGAAUGCAUUGUGUACCCCUUUCUUUGAUUACUGUUUUAUAUUUAAUAAAUAUUUAGUAUUUAAUCAAAAGUUUUGCUUAUUUGGUCUUUAUUUUCUCCCUCAUAAUAUGAUAAUAUUCAAAUAAUGUGUGUGUGUGUGUGUGUGUGUGUGUGUGUGUGUGUGUGUGUGUGUGUGUGUGUGUGUGUGUGUGUGUGAGCGUGGGGUCGCGUCAGACACCCCGGGAGGACGCGGUGUUCACGGGGUGGUGAAAUAUAUAUAUAUUUUUUUACAUGUAUGGGGAGCGUGGCUGCUGCGGGCACGGAGGUCUGCGUUAUUGUGUCAACGCUAUUCCACCAGUCUCAAUGUGAGGAGCGCUGCGGUGGAACCUAUUGACCAGUCGCCGCCUCAUUUCCAAUUUUUACACAAGUUUACACAAGUUUUCCCUCGAUUUCCCAGGUUUCCCAGGAUUUUUCCGAGUUGGAGGAUCCUCCUGGUGGGAAUAAAUUGCCCGGGUCGGAGGACUUUUUCCACGUUGGACAAAGUGGAGAACGGUUCAGGAGGAGUUGUCUGGCGGUGAGAUGACGAUGAGCCGAUUGGAGGAUCCCUCGCUGGUCCAGAUUUUGGGUUGGGUGCCUGUGUGCGGGGGAGGGAGGUGCGGCGAACCUUAAAAGUCGCAGAGAGAAUACAUCGCAGUACCACUUCACCUGACAAGCUUGGAACGAGCGUUUAUCCACAGUCUCGUCGAAAGGUUCCAACGCUAUGGCCUCUCAAGAAGGUGACCUGCAAACCGACGGCUGCGCUGUGUUCGAGCUGCGGCUCGAGCGGACCACAGACUGUCUGCGCCUUCGCGUAGAAGAAGAGGGAACCCCGUGCUGUUGGAUCAUAGCGGAUUCCCAGACCUGGAAGGAGGCCUAGACGAAGGUCUGGAGUGCGACUGUUUGUGUGGGAACGCUCUGGCCGCUGAGGGUGCCUUGAGGGCCUUGUUGGACAAACACAUCCUGGCCAGCGACGGACGGUGUGCUCGUGUCAAGGCUCAUUACAAACACC